AGCCUGGGAUGUUCGAGAACCCCUGCUAUUUUGAACCUACAUUUUUUGAUUUGGGAAACUAAAUCUUUGGAGUGAUGACAGGCCUCAUUACUAUCGGAGGAAGCCAGAAGUUCAAAUGAAGUUACCCACCUGGCUUAGGCUAGGACUCAAAAUUGCAGGAUACGGCAUUUUGGGC
rnacentral:other from 1 species